rnacentral:lncRNA from 1 species
GCAAAGAUCAAAGGUCAAAUGGAUGAGAUGGUUUGUCACCAGGUUUGGGGUGUUCAAUUUCACUAUAAUUCUGUCCAUCCAACAUAUUUAUUGAAAUUCACUGCAAAAGGAUCUAAUGGAGAUUUUCCCAAUCCAUUUCAGCCAAGGCAAAAAGUACUAUGAAGGCACCACUGAUCUCGACAAGAGGCGCAACAUUCGGAGAAAUUCAGGGCAAGCAUAUGUACUUACUGGGGAAGGAUGGCCAGCUACACAGGAGGGUGAUUUUUACAAAGGAGGAGAUGGAGGCCGUGCUGACCGAGAUGCAUGCUGGCCAUUACGGAGUGAAGCACAUGAUUGCCAAAAUCAACCUACGCUUCUGACGGGGAAUUGUCAAGGAGGUGGACAUCUGGGCAAUUGAAAUAACCUUUUGUUUAUCAAUCACAUUCUAUUUUAUCUGAAAUUCUCAUGAUUUCAAUGAACGUCACAUCAGAGAGCACACAAUGUUUCAAUUUGUCACUUUUGCCAAAAGGUCAGUACCCUGUCUAGCCUGCAAGAAGUUUGAGAAGGCAAAGACUGGUGCCGGAGUUGAGGCCCAUCAAAGUUGUUUCACCAAGGCACAUGAUCGAUAAGUGUCCCAAUUCAAAUUUUGCCCUGAUAUGUUGUGCUUUAUUUGACCACAG